GUCGCAGGCAACCACCGCAGCAGGAAACAUUCCAUUCCCUAAUGGUUCGGGGGAAAUAUGAAUUUCUAAACGCUUCUGUUUUGCAAUCACCGCAAAUGCG
rnacentral:lncRNA from 1 species